rnacentral:rRNA from 1 species
UACGUAGGUGGCGAGCGUUAUCCGGAAUUAUUGGGCGUAAAGAGCGCGCAGGUGGUUGAUUAAGUCUGAUGUGAAAGCCCACGGCUUAACCGUGGAGGGUCAUUGGAAACUGGUCAACUUGAGUGCAGAAGAGGGAAGUGGAAUUCCAUGUGUAGCGGUGAAAUGCGUAGAGAUAUGGAGGAACACCAGUGGCGAAGGCGGCUUCCUGGUCUGUAAACUGACACUGAGGCGCGAAAGCGUGGGGAUCAAACAGGAUUAGAUA